AAAAUAAUUCAUAUUGAACUUGGUAAUUAUUUUAAGUUCAGUUCGAUUAAAUAAUAAUGAAUUGAAAUCCUUUUGUUCGCAUCAGAGAGGGAAGAUCCAUUAUUUUGUUCAUUUUCUAAGGGGAAAAUUGAGGAUUGUUAGAGAAACUUGGAAGCGUAUUGCUGGCAGGAAUUCGAAGGCGUAAUAGCAUAACAUCGAUUGCAUAAGCAACGCUAUAUUUAUAACCUGGAAGUGCUUUUUUAACCUUGCUUCUGUAAACGGUAACCCAUUUCCGCGAUCCAUUAUCCCGCAAAAUUCGUUUUCUAUGUUCCUUUGUUUGCCACUGUUGUAAACGAAUGCCGUUGCGAAUACGGAUUCGUAGAAAGUGCUUUUCAGAAGUGAUACUAAUCGUUGAAAUGAGUCCAGCGGUUCUAACGCAAGUUCGUAUAAAUAAUCUCGAAAAUAACUUUACUCUUCCGACGAAAUGUAUUUAUAAUAAUUUCGAAACUAUGCUCGAUCAGAAAAUUUCUAUUUGACGUUUAACAUUUACGAGGCAAUCGAUUUUGAGAAGUUUAUAAUAAGCACGAGUACGAUGGCACGAAUUCGACAAUUUGCGAUGUUUCGUAACUGCCAGCAGAUUGAGUGAACGGGCUAAAAAUACGAGAACUAUCGUUGAUAAUUCGUUGAGCCUUCUGUUGGCAUCGCGUCGUUCUCCAAAUAUAUCCUCCUGCAUUUUUCACGGUCGAUUUCUUGCUAAACGGGAUUUUGCAAUCACUUGGGACACUUUCCUUCCCUUAAUAAAUGAUUUGUACAAAUCUUGGAUAUAUCAUACGAAUUUAAUCGAGUUCGAUGCAUCUACUAACGUUUAACGAGUUUAUUUAAUUGAAAGCGUUUAAAUAUAUUCAUUAGGAGGUUAAAUAUCAAUGAAAACAGAUUGAAUGAGUUAAGGAAGUUCGAAUUUGGCUGUCGUACGCGAAAAUCGCGCCGUAACGUUGUCGAAUACCGAGCGGUAUUACGUGUACCGUGAUUGGUCGCGGCAUUCCACGGAUCAGCCAAUCGACGCGCGCGACACGAACAGGAGCAUCGCCUUUUCUUUUCCUUGACGCAACGCCGUCGCUAAUUUUAGUCACGCGCGUACUUCAUACCGCCCUGGAUCAUCCGAACGCUAUUUCGCACGUAUUCCUGUUUCAUUCUCGGCAAGAUCGACCGAAGGUCAUCGGAAAUAUAUUUGGAAUACGUGAUCUAAAUCGACCGCCGUCCAUUAAUGCUUAUUUCUAGCGAACUGACUGAUCGUGGGUAAUUAUGAUCGCGUCUAACCAUAAUCAUACGUCUUCCAAUUCGACGACACGUGUUUUCCUUCAACUAUUAAUACACAAUAUUUGAUUGAUCGAGCAAUUAAACGAAAAUAUUGCAAAUUGAAGGAAGAUAAAAUUACAAAUUCAAUAUUAAUUGAACGUUUACGUUGAUUUGAAAGCGUUCGGUUGGUAACAUGGCGGAUUUUUUGGCUUCAAGUUAGUACUACUGGUUUCAAAACAGUGACAGUGGUUAUUUGACAGUAAAAACAUGAUUUAGUGUGUAAUAAUUUGUUAAUUAAGCGUUUGGUGAAUAAAGGAGAUGAUUGACGUACAUCAAGAGCAUCACCCAUAGAGGUGGCUCUGAAGGUUACACCAAAGGAGCACGUGUUGCAGACUUCGUAGCAGCUUUGAAACGAGGUGCAACUACUCAGGGUAUGGAGUUCAACAAAUGGUGCUGAUCUAGAUGACACCACAUUGUGGCUUUGAGUAGUUCUUCCCCGAAAUUCUGCUCUCUCUAUCUUUUUGAGGUCGUCGUUUUAUCAGUCGAAAUGUUUAUCGAGGAUCGAUCAAGGAAUCUAUCCCGAAGCCUCGUUCCAUUCACCAAAAUCGAGCACAACUAAACAAUCGUAAACUCUGGAGGAUUCGCAAAACGCCUUUGAAAGUGUACUUAAUACUGCAACACACGCGCGUUAAAGGUAUCGAGGAAAGACCGCAAAUAUCUAUUACAUAACCGAGUCACUGCGUGCCCUGUUGCUACCAUGAGAAACCGCAGGGAAAUACGAACGACAAACCCGGUAGGAAAAAUUGAAGAGAAAA